rnacentral:misc_RNA from 1 species
UGAUAAUGUUUUGCCUGCAUUUGUACUUCGUCUUUACCAACAAUCUUAAACUAUAGAUUUUCCGCUUCUUUGAUUUGUCUAUGUUCUUAUAAUUUCAAUUAUCAUUAUUAAUGUAUGCUGGCAUCCAGUGGGAUUGGAGACCUUCAUUUUGUUUCAGUAAAUUAGAUGCAUGGUACAUUCCCUUGUGAAACAGUUGAAUGUUGACUGAUUGAUUAUUCCUGGUGAUGAAUGGUGAGGAUGAGAUACGGCCUUUAGGAAGCACAAAAGCAUAUUAACAUGCUCAGGGAAAACAAUGCUGUAAACUGUGCUAGGGCUUAGCUGCUUGAGUCACAAUAUAUAUAGAACUUCAGCAGUUUGAUUUGGUUCUCAAUUCUCAAUUUGUGACCAAUAGUCCUCUAUAGCAGACUCUAAUUAUCUGGUGCAUGCUUAAUGCUUACACACGCAUGCAAAAAUAAGACUCAUUGAUUUUAUAUUGGUUGCUUUUCCUCAUUUAGUUUGUAAUACUGCUUAAGAUCCAAUUGUUA